rnacentral:rRNA from 1 species
CCCUUAGAUGUUCUGGGCCGCACGCGUGCUACACUGAUGCAUUCAACGAGUCUAAAACCUGGUCUGAUAGGGCUGGGUAAUCUUUUGAAAGUGCAUCGUGAUUGGGAUAGAUGAUUGCAAUUCUUCAUCUUCAACGAGGAAUGCCUAGUAAACACAAGUCAUCAGCUUGCAUUGAUUACGUCCCUGCCCUUUGUACACACCGCCCGUCGCUCCUACCGAUUGAAUGAUCCGAUGAAUACCAUGGAUUGAGAGUACGAAUAGGUUCGCUUAUUUCUGCUGCUCGAGAAGUGGAGUAAAUCUUAUCAUUUAGAGGAAGGAGAAGUCGUAACA